rnacentral:rRNA from 1 species
ACUCAAAGGAAUAGACGGGGGCCCGCACAAGCGGCGGAGCGUGCUCUUUAAUUCGUCGCAACGCGAAGAACCUUACCAGGGCUUGACAUGGACCUGCAGGGCCGGGAAACCGGUCGGCCUUCGAGGGUGGUCCACAGGUGCUGCAUGGCUGUCGUCAGCUCGUGUCGUGAGAUGUUGGGUUAAGUCCCGCAACGAGCGCAACCCUUGGGUCCAGUUGUGUUUUUCUGGACCGACUGCCGGGAGCAAACCGGAGGAAGGUGGGGAUGAUGUCAAGUCAGCAUGGCCCUUACGCCCUGGGCGAGAAGCACGCUACAAUGGCCGGGACAGUGGGUUGCCAAGCGGUAACGUGGAGCUAAUCCCCCAAACCCGGUCUCAGUUCGGAUCGGGGGCUGCAACUCGCCCCCGUGAAGGUGGAGUCGCUAGUAACCGCAGGUCAGCACUACUGCGGUGAAUAUGUUCCCGGGCCUUGUACACACCGCCCGU